AGACCUGGAAGCUUGAUCAUUAUGGAAGAUGAUAUAUGGGAGGCAUGUAUCAGAUUUAGUUCCAGACAAGGACCAGUGUUAGAGGAGAACAUCAGUUGACUACAAAUAAAACACUUCUGGUGUACAGAAAGUAAAGAUGACACAGAACGUAGGCACCCACAGGCGUGAGUUUGACAAGACCUGGCAUAUGGAUCUCAGACAUAGUCAUGACUGAAGGAUGAUACCAUUCUUUUUUGAACUCUUGAUCAUCCACGCUGCUGCUACUUGUAUAG